AUGGUUUUGUUUUGUAAGUCUGAUCAGAAUUGUAAGAAAUGUCAUGUGGCCUUGGGCAGAUCAAGAACAAUGUCUGAAGAAGGAAUAGAAUGGUUGCAAGAUAUUUUGAGAGAUGUACAACUAUCACAAUUUUUAGCAUCAAUAAGAGAUGAUUUACAAAUCACAAGGUUAGAACAUUUUGAUUAUGUUUUAUCGGAAGAUCUAGAAAAAGUUGGAAUAAGCAAGCCAGGAGCAAGAAGGUUGUUAGAUGCAGUUAAAAAAAGAAGAGCUCAACUCUGGAAGCGAAACCUUUUAACAAAACUAAUUCCAGUUUCUAAUAAACAAACUACUAAUAAAAAGGCUGAAGAAGAUAAUUUAUCUCUAAGCCUAACUUGCUUAAUUCAAGAAAAAGAUGUAACUUUAUCCAUUAAAUUAGGGGAUGGUUCUUUUGGAGUUGUUAGAAGAGGAGAAUGGACAAGUCCCACUGGUAGAACAUUGCCUGUAGCUGUUAAAGUACUAAAAGCAGAUGCCCUUGCCCAGCCUGGAAUUUUUGAUGAUUUUAUUAAAGAAGUACAAGCCAUGCACUCUUUAAAACAUCACAAUUUAAUCAAAUUGUAUGGUGUUGUACUAUCUCAGCCAAUGAUGAUGGUAACAGAAUUAGCACCCUUAGGUUCUUUAUUAGAUUGUUUAAGGAAAGAAUGUCAGCAUACACCUGUCACUCUUUUAAGUGAAUAUGCCACACAAGUGGCUACAGGAAUGGCAUAUUUGGAAAGCAAACGCUUUUUACAUAGAGAUUUAGCUUGUAGAAAUGUCUUGUUAGCUGCAAAAGAUAAGGUUAAAAUAGGUGACUUUGGUUUGAUGAGAGCUUUACCUCAACAAGAAGACUGCUAUGUUAUGACAGAGCACAAAAAGGUUCCUUUCCCUUGGUGUGCCCCAGAAUCUUUAAGAUCCAGACAAUUCAGUCAUGCUUCUGAUACUUGGAUGUUCGGUGUUACUGUAUGGGAAAUGUUUACAUUUGGGGAAGAACCUUGGAUGGGCUUGACUGGUUCAGAAAUAUUACGAAAAAUAGCAAGGGACGGCGAACGCUUACACCAUCCGGACGCUUGUCCCAUCGAUAUUUAUGGUAUGCUUUUGCAAUGUUGGGCAAAAAACCCUCAGGAACGUCCUACAUUUGCUGCGAUAAAAGAUUUUUUCCGUAAAGCUACUCCACCUGUUAUGAAAGCUCUCAUGAGGCAAGAUGAGCCAGACAAAUUAAAAAUUCACAUCGGUGAUCAAAUCGCCAUUAUAGACGGUCGACCCGAACUGUAUUGGUGGAAAGGUCAAAAUCAAAGAACUUUUGAUAUUGGAACUUUUCCUAGGUGCAUUGUUGAUCCAAUGCGCCCCACAGCCCCGGAAGAUAUUAGUAAGCCUUUAAAAAAUUCUUUUAUACAUACUGGGCAUGGAUCAGCAUUCGGAGAAUCCUGGGGCAGUCCAGCUUACAUAGAUGCUAUGUAUUUAAAGAAUCCUAUGGAACCUCCAGAUGUUAUGGGCAUACAAAGUGAAUCUCAACCAACACCUCAACUAUCGGAUCGUAGAAAAUCCAAUAACUCAAGAAGUUAUUUAUUGGUCCACCAAAACAAGUUUCACAAAUAUGUUGUUUUUGUCUUCUCAGCGCUCUCUAAUUAUUCAAGAAAAUCGGCUGGAAAGCAGUUCGACUACAGAAAAUUGGCAGAGGACAAGUCUAAGAAUAAACCCUCACGCCCUCCUCAACCGAAAAAUCAUCAUCAGUCAGAAACCAAAGAGAGCAUUUUAAUAGAUAUAUCUCCUAACGAAAGCACAUUGCUUCGGCAGAGUAGUCAGGCGCCCGUUUUGUCCUCUACAAAUGUUUCCAUUUUGGAUGAACCGAUUGAUGUGCCACAGCAAGACGUUUGGGCAGAUAAUUCGAUACCAACUGAUAAUCACAUCCCAUACCAAGAGGAGCAUACAUAUAGCAACUCCUAUAAUUUAAAUAGUGAUACUCAUGUCAGUGGUAAAGACGAUCCAUUUGAUACAUCAAAAGCCUAUUUACCAAACAGAUAUUAUUCCCACGUUGCUCAGUUAGAAGAGUCAGUUUUUCCCAAUAUCCAACCUACCCCUUACAAAAACGAUAUCAAAUCCAUAAAUAAUGGCUUUUCUCCGUCAUCCACAAAACUAAAUGCCUAUGCAGAAUGUGUAAAAAUAAACGACAGCACUUUGCCGGGAAUUACACAUAAUAGUACUCCUGAUCCUUCAGACUUAAAUAAAUUGGAUAGUAAAUUCAUAGAGGAACUUGAAACUUUAAAGAUUAGUAAAGAUGACAAUUCAGAAAAUAUCCCAACUCUGGAUCCUCCUCCCCCUUCAAUAAGAGCGAAAAACUUUGCCGCUCUUAAAUUGAACACAAACCUCGAUGCUCAGGAAAAGCCCGGAGCCUUUGGUUUGAAUACUGUACAAAAUGAUAUUACUUCCAACUGUGAUACAGUGUCAGUGUUUAAUCAAAUUUGGUACGAUUCAGCAAUAAAAGGAACAGGAACCUCAGAUUCUUCCCUCAACUCACAUUCUAUGCUCUCUGAAAAGAAUACAAAUGUACAUAGAAACGCUAAUACAGGACCUUAUUUUCAAACUCCUCUCGAAUUUGGAGAAUUCAAAACUAACAGGCCCUUAAAUGUAAACUCUGGAACUUCAUAUUAUAAUCUUGGACAAGUUUAUGAAUCCAAAUAUCACAAUAAUUCUCUUGGAUAUCAAAGUAAUGCUGUUCAAAAUGGAAACAGUACUGCCAUUAAUUACUCAGUUACGUCUGAAAAUAACGAAGUGUUUUACGAUAUCGCUGGAAGGACUUGCUCUAAUUAUGGACAUCCUGAAUCGGUAUAUAACAGUUCGGGAAGUACUUGUAAUUCUCAAAAUGCUGUAUAUGGUAGUCAGAGACUGUACAGUGAGGUAGCUGAAAGUGUGUAUUCAGAAAUACCUGAAAAUUAUUACAGUGUUGUACCUGAUGGUAGUCUUUUACCUCAUAGACCAGCUCCACCAUCGCCCCUAGUUAUUGUGGGCCAACCACAGAGCAUGCAACAAAUCCAAAGGAAGAUACAGCAGGGACAAUUGAGUGCAGAUGCUGAGAGACUGAUGACCCCCGAAUUUCGAAAUAAUAAAAUAGGUAGGAUAAGAGAAGAAGUGCCUGAUACAACUAAAGAAGAAUGUUUGAAUGCUUUACAAAAUUGCGGUUGGGACGCCAGUGCUGCAAUUCGAUUUAUUAAAGUCGAUAAAUUACUAAAAUUGGGAUUAGCAAAUAAAGACAAAUGCGAAGCUGCUUUACAAAAAUCAAAUUGGAACGUAGAAAUUGCAGCAUCUAACAUUUUGGAUUAAUGAUAAGUUAUCUGUAAGUUUGACUUCAACUUAUUAGUUACAAUUUUCAUUAUGUAUGUUAAAUACAUUAAUGUUUCUUUGUCUUAAUUACUGUUAAAAGCAAUCAAUCUUAUGAAAUUAUAUUUACUAAAUUGUCAAAACAAAAAAUAUAAAUAGUUUUUUUCUUGAACAACAAUAAUCAUUUUGUCACAUAUUAGCUCCUUCAGGUGGAGAAAGAAUAUUAUUUGUGUUUUUCUUUUUUGGUCAUGUAGCAAUGUCUGCUAUCAAUUUUUAAGAUAAUAUAUUUUUGUAUGUUAUAAAUUUUGAAAUAUUGGAUAUUUUGUAGAUAUUGAAAAAAUAUUCAGCAAUUAUUUCAAUUUCUACUUACUUUACAUAUUUAUAAUUGGUAUUUUAUUUCACACUGUGAUAAAUUAAUCCAUAUGCUGUCUAAAGAACAAUGAAUUAUUUCUUUAAAUUUAAUUUAUUUACAGAUUAAUAGAAAAUGUAAAAACAAACUUUAGAAAAGUUUAUUACUAUGUAUAUAUUACGUGCUACGAUAGAAAAAGUUUUUUUUAGCCAUCAACCUUUUUUAAUAAAUAAUAGUGACUACACUGAAUGCCCAUAUUUCCUUUUAUUUAUUUUGUUUAGCAAUAGUAUUAUUAUCAUGUAGUUCUAUGUGGAACAAAAAUUCCACUGUAGUCCAAAGAGAUAUCAGCGAAUGCAUUUUUAUUUAAAAUAAAGAAUUCUUUUGUUAAGUCAAUACGAUCUCUCUUUUUUUGUUUUGUGUAAUUUACUUAAAUAUUUAUUAUUUUUACCAUUGAAGGUGCCAAAAAUAUUAUUUCUUACUAUGUGAUAUAUCACCAUGUUAGAAUGUAUCAUGUACAUAGGUAACUUUGGUAGUGCCUACUGGAAAAUUACUUGUAUCUGAUUAGUUUGUAUUUUUUAUUGAACUUUUAUUAAUAAACAGUUAUUUUCCUACUCAAACGUUUGUGUGAUAAGCUGAUAAGUGUAAUUACUUUUUAUUUUCUAAUCAAUUUAUUUAGUUGAUGGAUUUGAGAUGUGGUGUUAUAGGAUAAUGAAAAUAUCGUGGAUAGAAAUGGUUAUUGGAAAUAGUGAGAAGAAAGGGCAUUAUGGAAGUCGGUAAAGAAAAGGAGAGAGGAUGUUAGGACACCUUAUGAGACAUGAAGAAAAUGUGAAGUUUAAAGUGGAGAUGCUAGUAUACUCAAUCUUGAGACAAACGACCUUGUAAUGAUUUAACGACAAGUAACUGAAUGCAGGUACAUAUUUAUACAAUGAAAAACUUAGUUAACAAAUUAACAGUUAAAUGGUUUAACACACUCUUCUGUAUUACUGAAUUUCGUUCAAAUUUCCAAUAUCAUUAAUGUUGUAUAGUUUACGUUUCUUUUUAAUAAAUUUAGUUUCAGUAGCGUUAGACACUUGAA
rnacentral:misc_RNA from 1 species